rnacentral:rRNA from 1 species
CCUACGGGUGGCUGCAGUGGGGAAUAUUGGGCAAUGGAGGCAACUCUGACCCAGCAACGCCGCGUGAAUGAUGAAGGUCUUCGGAUUGUAAAGUUCUUUUCUAAGGGAAGAAGAAAGUGACGGUACCGUAGGAAUAAGCCUCGGCUAACUACGGGCCAGCAGCCGCGGGAAUACGUAGGAGGCAAGCGUUAUCCGGAAUGACUGGGCGUAAAGGGUGCGUAGGGGGUUUGACAAGUUGGUAGCGUAACUCCGGAGCUCAACUUCGGAACUACUACCCAAACUGUUGGACUCGCGUGCAGGCGGUGCAACUGGAAUUUCUCUUGUAGCGGUGGAAUGCGUCGAUCUUAGG